GGUGAUUCAUAGUAACCGAACGGAUCGCAUUAUAGUCAUUUUAUAUGGCUGGCGAUAGAUCAUUCAAGUUUCUGACCUAUCAGCUUUCGACGGUAGUGUAUUGGACUACCGUGGCAGUGACGGGUAACGGGGAAUUAGGGUUCGAUUCCGGAGAGGGAGCCUGAGAAACGGCUACCACAUCUAAGGAAGGCAGCAGGCGCGCAAAUUACCCAAUCCUGACUCAGGGAGGUAGUGACAAGAAAUAACAACACUGGAAAUUUUAUUUCUAGUGAUUGGAAUGAUGGGAAUUUAAACCCCUUUCAGAGUAACAAUUGGAGGGCAAGUCUGGUGCCAGCAGCCGCGGUAAUUCCAGCUCCAAUAGCGUAUAUCAAAGUUGUUGCAGUUAAAAAGCUCGUAGUUGGAUAUCUGCUGGAAGCAAUCAGUCCGCCCUAUUUGUAGGGUGUGCACUUGAUGAAUUCUGGCAUCUAUGUCCCGAUAAUAUAACGUGGAGGUCGUCCUCCCGUUUAUUGGGAACAUACUGUUACUUUGAGAAAAUUAGAGUGUUUGAAGCAGGCUAAUUGCCUUGAAUACUGCAGCAUGGAAUAACAAUAUAGGAUUUCGGUUCUAUUUUGUUGGUUUCUAGGACUGAAAUAAUGAUUAAUAGGGACAGUUGGGGGCAUUCGUAUUUAACUGUCAGAGGUGAAAUUCUUAGAUUUGUUAAAGACGAACUACUGCGAAAGCAUUUGCCAAAGAUGUUUUCAUUAAUCAAGAACGAAAGUUAGGGGCUCGAAGACGAUCAGAUACCGUCGUAGUCUUAACCAUAAACUAUGCCGACUAGAGAUAGGAAAAUGUCAUUUUGCUGACUUCUCCUGCACCUUAUGAGAAAUC
rnacentral:rRNA from 1 species